AUUGAACGCUGGCGGCAUGCCUUACACAUGCAAGUCGAACGGUAACAGGUCUUCGGAUGCUGACGAGUGGCGAACGGGUGAGUAAUACAUCGGAACGUGCCUAGUAGUGGGGGAUAACUACUCGAAAGAGUGGCUAAUACCGCAUGAGAUCUACGGAUGAAAGCAGGGGAUCGCAAGACCUUGUGCUACUAGAGCGGCCGAUGGCAGAUUAGGUAGUUGGUGGGAUAAAAGCUUACCAAGCCGACGAUCUGUAGCUGGUCUGAGAGGACGAUCAGCCACACUGGGACUGACACACGGCCCAGACUCCUCCGGGAGGCAGCAGUGGGGAAUUUUGGACAAUGGGCGAAAGCCUGAUCCAGCAAUGCCGCGUGCAGGAUGAAGGCCUUCGGGUUGUAAACUGCUUUUGUACGGAACGAAAAGCCCUGGGUUAAUACCCUGGGGUCAUGACGGUACCGUAAGAAUAAGCACCGGCUAACUACGUGCCAGCCGCCGCCGUAA
rnacentral:rRNA from 1 species